rnacentral:lncRNA from 1 species
UUAGAUGAAAGUAUACAAUAAAAGAGUAUGUGAAAAGUUAGAUGAAACAACAUGUGUAAUACAUUUUGUAAUGUGGUCGUAUGUCUCCGCAGAAAAAUACAGCACUUGUUGAAGUGGGACAUGUAUGUUCCUUUCCAAAAUAGAAAAUUCUAGCAGCAAUUUCAUAUUGAGACAAUACUGAACAUAUAAAGAAGAUGGCAGCAAGGUGCCGUUCUUGAUCCUUCAACCAAAGGUUUCAACAUAGUGAUUAAACUAGAAACCAGAGGUACUGUUCCUUUUUGUUGGGUAUAUACUACUUUCCCAAAGAAGAAAUAGCAGCUGAAAUCACUAUUUGUGAAUCCAUUUGAUCAUAUGUCCACUAACAAAAAUAAUUAAAGAAAUAUGUUGAUCUGUUUACGGCUGACUGGGCGCCGCUAGCGGUAGGAUCAACAGAGUGUGCUGAAGAUCGACGAUGGGAUGCUACGCCAUUCACCCCCACAAGCCACAUGAAUCAAUUCUUCCACGUGAGACAUCCAGCCUCCAUCCAGCAGGACAUCCACAAAGCACCAGAAAAUUCUCUCAUCCACAAAAAUUAACUAGUCAGCAAACAAUCAGAUCCUGAACGGGGCGCACGCUCCUCUUCAGAUCUAGAAGAAAGCAAUACAAUUUUGGUUAAUGGAUUGGAACAUGCUACGGAUCUAGAACAGGGAAUCAACACGCACAGAACGUCCAAGAGAAAUCACUGACCUUUGAUUAAAAUAAACCUCGGAUCCGGCUGGUCUCGCGCUCUCUGAUCCGUUGGCCAAUGGAAGCUGCAAUUUGGAUCGGUCGCCGGGGAGUGAUAGCGGUGGCCGCCGCGGUUCCGCGCUGAAGUGUAUCCAGGGGCCGGCUGCUGCAGUUCAGGAUGUGUGAAGCCGAGGGAAGGAUUAGAUGCGAGAGGGCCCGAAAAAUCGGUGUGUUUGCUAAUUUAUAUAGUCAUGCCUCGGGUUUGACAAUUGUGAACCGAACACGUCGCUAAUCAAGGACAUUCAUGAAAAAAAAGAUAAUUAAUGAUAGAGGAAGGAGGGAGUAUGUAC